rnacentral:lncRNA from 1 species
GUUUUUCUUUCAUUUUUUGUACAUAAACUAGCUAUAUAUAUAGGCUGUUAUUUUUUCUGUUUAAAUUGUUUUACAUUGUCAUUUUAAAGCUGGCUAUGCAAUAUUGGCUUUGCAGUGAAAUACUGUCCUGUCUAUAGCUAUGAAAAACAAUUAUUCAUAUAAAAUAUUUUCCAUUCUUUAAUUUAAAGGACAUUUUUCACAUCUG